UGCAACAGAAAGCAAGCCUGCUCCAGAGAGCCCAGAGAAAGCAGAUCUCGCCUCCUCCAGCAACUGGGGUGCGGCAACAUGGAGCUAGGACCCUGCACAACCCUGCCUGGGAUUUGUCCCCCUCCAUCUGGGUGAGUGGCAUGGCGCCUCACUAAAAUCCCUUCUCUGACCUCUGAAGCACAAAGACCUCUUCUUCCUCAAACUCAGCAAUGGUUCUGAACCCAUCACUUCCUAUUAAAGCAUCCUGCUUCACCCUGUUUUGAUGAUUUUUAUGUCCACACCCAAGCCAUAUUAUUCAAAAUUCGACUUAUGAUAGUUCUUUCUAAACCUCAUAGGUUUGCAACCCAGAGCAAGAGUUCAUCUGAAAUAAGGAGCUCUCCACUCUGAAUAUAAAUUGGAUCCUGCCACAUUCUCCCAAUUUCUCUAGCACCGCACAAGCUGUUUUAUCAAAGAAUGACCGUGGAUUAACUGAACUGGUAACGUGUAGAUAGCUUCCGAUGCGGUCAUGAUGGUGGCCCUGUGGUUCACUGAAGCCCAGAGCUUGGCUACCAAAACUCACCCAAAGUCUUCUUGCCAUGCGGCCUGUGUUCUGGGUAACAGGGAGGUCACUUUGGGAAGCAGGGUUUGUAGCAGACUUACCUCCCACCAUGUGCAUUUGAGGAAGGAGAUUCCAUAGGAAGGCUCUGGGGCUGAAGGGUGGGAGGAUGGGAAGGGCUGGUUAGCUGCCAUCAGGGUGCCCUGAAAAGCACUGGCAGGGAAACGCUGAGAGCCUUGGAAGAUUCGCUGGAAUUGGCCUCACUGUGGGUUUACACGGCUUCCUUGCCCGGUUCCAUCUGAGCCCAGAUGGUCAGGUGGAAAGAAAACAGCUAACUGGCCACAGCCCCACCCUCGGUACAGUGAAGUGGCCCUGCUGCCUUCACGGGCACUGGGUUUCCUCAGAUGGAUGACUUCUCUACACCUUUCCAACGGGCCAGAGAGUUUCAAAGACACACAAGGGUGACUUCGGAAUGCUCAUGCACUUUGCCCCUGAGAGUCAGUGGUCAGUAGAUGGCUGAGUCUCUGAAUUUAGGGACAACUGUGAACAAAGGGCGGUGGAGGCAGAGCAAGCCUUGGGAUCUUGAUAGAGGGCCUUCCCAGGUUUCAGCAGUGCAAUGGCCUGAGGGGACAUGGAGCCGGACCUGGCUGCAGAGAAGCAGCUCCAAGCCCAGGAGAAAUCCAAGCCUCUGCUCCGGCUGUUUUCCUCCCUUAGCAGUGGGGCCAGUCGCUGUUUCUAAAUGCACGCUCCUUGAGGAUUGGGUUAGGGAGAAGAGGGUGCUGUCCAGUUAGAACAAUGAUCACAAAAUACCCCAGUCCCCACAAUGUCGUUCACAAAUGGAAAUGUUUGAGACAUUAGAAGACUGACAGGUGGUGGGGAGAAUUCUGCCUUUCUAGAGAUCAGUAGAAAGACUGAUUUGGAAAGAUGAUAAGGAACAUGGAUUCCUAAAAUAAAAGUAGGCUUUCCGAAGUGAAUUUUCCUGGGUUGAAUUAACAGCCCUGUGAGGCAGCGAGUCCUUUGACCAUCUGGCCAGGUCUGGAGGAGGCCGGAUCACUGUCUGCACAGGCCUGCAGGACGGACUCCUACCUUGAGUGGUCUCAAGUCCUCCACAGAUCCACGUGAGGGCAUUAUACGUGGGAGAGGCCAGGCUCAGGAGCUCAGGGUCCCAGGCAUUGGUGGCUCUGGGCACACAGCUGGGCAGUACUGACCAACAAGAGGCACACGACACACACAGCAGCUCUCACAGGGCUCCCCCCUGGGCCCCUCUAGACGCUGGGCGUCUAAAAUGCUGAGCUAUAUUCUCCUGGGAACUGGGGCUCAUGCUUAUCUUUUUUGGGUUAUAUAACCAGUAAAUAAAGGAACUGAGAUUUUAGGGCCUGUACAACCCCAAAACCUGACCCUUGUGAGUGUCUUCCACAGGCUUUAUGCACAGAUGAG
rnacentral:lncRNA from 1 species